rnacentral:rRNA from 1 species
GUGGGGAAUUUUGGACAAUGGGCGCAAGCCUGAUCCAGCAAUGCCGCGUGCAGGAAGAAGGCCUUCGGGUUGUAAACUGCUUUUGUAUGGAACGAAACGGUCCGGGUUAAUACCCUGGGCUAAUGACGGUACCGUAAGAAUAAGCACCGGCUAACUACGUGCCAGCAGCCGCGGUAAUACGUAGGGUGCAAGCGUUAAUCGGAAUUACUGGGCGUAAAGCGUGCGCAGGCGGUUUUGUAAGACAGGCGUGAAAUCCCCGGGCUCAACCUGGGAAUUGCGCUUGUGACUGCAAGGCUGGAGUGCGGCAGAGGGGGAUGGAAUUCCGCGUGUAGCAGUGAAAUGCGUAGAUAUGCGGAGGAACACCGAUGGCGAAGGCAAUCCCCUGGGCCUGCACUGACGCUCAUGCACGAAAGCGUGGGGAGCAAACAGGAUUAGAUACCCGAGUAGUCC